GAUGAACGCUAGCUACAGGCUUAACACAUGCAAGUCGAGGGGAAACGACAUCGAAAGCUUGCUUUUGAUGGGCGUCGACCGGCGCACGGGUGAGCAACGCGUAUCCAACCUGCCCAUCACUUGGGAAUAACCUUGCGAAAGUAAGACUAAUACCCAAUGACAUCCCACGAAGACAUCUGAAUGGGAUUAAAGAUUUAUCGGUGAUGGAUGGGGAUGCGUCUGAUUAGCUUGUUGGCGGGGUAACGGCCCACCAAGGCAACGAUCAGUAGGGGUUCUGAGAGGAAGGUCCCACACAUUGGAACUGAGACAAGGGCCAAACUCAUACGGGAGGCAGCAGUGAGGAAUAUUGGUCAAUGGGCGAGAGCCUGAACCAGCCAAGUAGCGUGCAGGAUGACGGCCCCAUGGGUUGUAAACUGCUUUUAUAAGGGAAUAAAGUGGGUCUCGUGAGACUUUUUGCAUGUACCUUAUGAAUAAGGACCGGCUAAUUCCGUG
rnacentral:rRNA from 1 species